UAUCAUUAUCAUCAUCAUCAUCAUCAUCAUCAUCAUCGUCGUCGUCGUCGUAGUCGUCGUCAUAGUCAUCGUGGUCGUCGUUGUCGCGAGGAACGUCGAGACGCCGCCGUCGCUGCAGCCGCCACACGUGCUCUUCUCGCGUCUGGCGGUGAGACAGCUAUUGUAAAAUUAGCGUCGGGGCACAAUGCCGGCGUCGCGGCGUCUGGGGUCGCGCAGCCACGACCCCCGUGGUCUAAAUCCGGCAUCCGUGAAGUCAUCCUGAACACGAAGAAGAGAGAGAGAGAGAGAGAGAGAGAAAGAAUGAAGGGGAGGAGAGACGGGGAGAACCCCGAAUUGAUUCUGUUAGACGGUCUGUUCUCUCCCUCUCUUUUGUCGCGAGUCUGCCGCAAGUUUCGUGGAAAGUCGCUACCGAGAUAGGUAGGGCGCUUUUGCGUGGCGCGUGGCUCCGCUCGUCCUCUUCAUCCUGACGCGAUCUGCGAGGGGAGCGACCCUGCGGAAGGUGCGACUGGACGUGCCGCGAGAAUGAUGGUGACGUUGAUAAGGACGCUGGAGGAAAUCGUUCAGCAAUACUUGCAAAUAGAUGAGAGAGAUUGACUUUGGAAUUUCUACUUCCGACAAACGUAAACAUCACUUAACAAUAGAAUUCGCGGCACGUGGUAUCAGUACAUGGAAAGUGUUGUAGCUGUCGUGUAACCACGCGUGAAGACAUCCGAGGCACGAGGAAGCAUCUAUUAACGAUCGCCGUGCUCGAAAUUCGACAGAUGUAAUUUAGCUUCAUUGCUGAAAGAGUCUUCAUCACUAUACGAACACCGCGGGUCACGUGAGCAUUCAUUGCCCUCUCUAAGCUUCUGUCUCGGCUCGAGAGCGGCUUUAUACAGGAUGUUACCAUAAUAUUCUGUGAAAUAUGUGGCCGCACAAAUCUCUCGUUUCGCGCGAGCGUUAUUCGACAAGGCAAACGUAUCAAAUCGACUCGAAAAACGCUGCAUGUCCACUGUGCGUCUUUUACAGCGUGCCCUUGGUUUGCGGGGACUUUUCUUGUUCAGUGUCAGAGCUUCGCGGAAACCAUCCGAUAGGAGGACUUUAUGACGCGUGGCGUCGCGACGGAUCGGACCAUUAGACACCGGACGCACAGGAGGAUUGUGAGGGCGUAAAGGAGAGCACGUGGACAAUAACGGAGCAAAUUUUAUCGUCCGUCUCCAUCGGACGUGCAACAGUCGGCGGCGCGCAGUCUCCGUUUUCGCUUAUCGUCGGCAACUUGAAGCGGCUACCUGGCCACAUAAGCAAGUAUACGAUCUUCUUUGAUGAUCACGAGACUAUAAAGCAUAAUAAAUUAAAACAAGUGAAAGUGAAUUAAACGAGUCUAACGAGUUAUCUCACUCCGUUAGCCUUCAAUCGGUUUUUCAUCUUCUUCUCCAACAUCUGUCUCAAAUUCGUUGGCUGCGAUUAUAACGAUUAUUGAAAGAUUGUCGCUACGAUUGCGAAUCAGUGCGAAUUCAUAGUACAUAAAUUAUAAGUUUCUAAAAAAAAAAAAUUAAAAAAAAUUUUACUUUCGGUAACCGACAGCAUGACUUUUACGACGCAACCGGCCUUCGUCUAUUCUUCUCGCAUGCGUCGACGCAACAUCUCGCUGUACUCGCUGUUAAGUGAUGAACGAGAGCAUCGAGAGCUAUAAGCGGGCCACCGUACGCGAUAUAGGUCGAAUGUAUCGAAUCGACUCGUGUGUACGUAAAAUGUGCCUCGAAUUACGCGCGCGAGUGUUCGCUAGUGGUUGAAAAAACGCGGCAUGGGGUGCGUGACGUUACUGUAAACGUACGCGGUUCCGCUGUUGCCCGUAUUGAGCAAACAAUUUACACAUGCAAAAAUAGUUGCUUAAAUAUUUUCCGUCGACUAGAGGCAUACGCGCACAGCUCACACAGCUGUAAUUUGCGCGCGCUAAUUUUGCCGUAUUUACUGGAAGUGAAAAAGCGUGACUGUUGCGCUGGAUCUUGUUGCGAACGCGUGAAGGAAAAUUGUUUAAGAUGCUCUUGAUUCUAAAUUGUCGGUUAUUGAUAAUUGAUUGACAACUUGAAUGCUUGAUUGAUUAUGUCUUAAUUGAAUCAGAAUUAUAAAUAAUAUUAUACAAAUAAAAAAAAAUCGGAAAAACAUUCAAAA